CUCAUGGUGUUAGUACUUCUGCUGUUCCCCCUGGAGUUUCCUCCUCCAUCAGAGGGCUUUGAUCAUCACUUUUGUGGGUGCUGCCUGUGGGACAGCUUCUCAGCUGGACGUGUUGAGAGCACACAGGCUGCCCCGUGCUGAGGCAGAGACUCUGCUCCUGAGAUCAUGCGGCUCCCGAGAAAGCUGCUCGUGUCCAUGCUCACCUCAGCUGGCAGAGCAGUGGUUAUCGAGAAGCUUGUGCACAGAGAACAGAACAUCUUGACCCCUUUUCUUCCUGUGCCUUCUGCACCUGCCUCCCGGUUUUGGUCAUUCCUUAAGGUAGAACCGGGUUUACGUUGACGUUAUCAGCCAAAAUCUUCUGAAAGGAACUUUUUAACCCUGCUGACAUGCACAAAAUAAUAAUAAUAAAAAAGAGCCAUGGACGUCUUAGUGCUUCUGGAACAGCAAAAUUGCAGUUGCUGGAGAAGGCAUAAAAACAAAACCCUGAAGAAAGUUUCAAUCUCAUGGGUUCUUUAUUUCUUUGGUGGCCUGAGGCUAGUUAUGUUAGGGCCGUAUUGGUGGCAAGGGCAAAGAAAAAUGACAGUUUGUUGGUUCUCUGUCAGCGCUGGAAUAAUGUUUGAACGUCAGCCUCCAUGAGAGUGUGAUGAUGGCCUGGGCCCAAACCUGCAUGGCAGUGACUAAGCUCAAGCAGGUACAGAGCUCCCUGCUGUUACGUUUCCAGCUUUGAGUCCUAACAGCAUCUUGUUUUCAAGAACUAGCUUUGUGGGGACGUUUGGAGUGCCUGUGUUGGUGUUCGUGGAAAGGAAAUAAUUCAGGUGUCAAUCAGCUUUUGUUUUUCAUGUUACUUUGUUCGUUCUGUUGUUUUGUUGCUAUAGUUCCAAUGAAAGCACAUAACAAAA